AUUGAACGCUGGCGGCAUGCCUUACACAUGCAAGUCGAACGGCAGCGGACCUUCGGGUGCCGGCGAGUGGCGAACGGGUGAGUAAUAUAUCGGAACGUACCUUUCAGUGGGGGAUAACGUAGCGAAAGUUACGCUAAUACCGCAUAUUCUGUGAGCAGGAAGGCAGGGGAUCGCAAGACCUUGCGCUGAUUGAGCGGCCGAUAUCAGAUUAGCUAGUUGGUGAGGUAAAGGCUCACCAAGGCGACGAUCUGUAGCGGGUCUGAGAGGAUGAUCCGCCACACUGGAACUGAGACACGGUCCAGACUCCUACGGGAGGCAGCAGUGGGGAAUUUUGGACAAUGGGCGCAAGCCUGAUCCAGCCAUGCCGCGUGAGUGAAGAAGGCCU
rnacentral:rRNA from 1 species